rnacentral:rRNA from 1 species
UACGUAGGGGGCAAGCGUUGUCCGGAAUCAUUGGGCGUAAAGAGCGUGUAGGUGGCCCGGUCAGUCCGCCGUGAAAGUCCAGGGCUCAACCCUGGAAUGCCGGUGGAUACUGCCGGGCUGGAGUCCGGAAGAGGCGAGUGGAAUUCCUGGUGUAGCGGUGAAAUGCGCAGAUAUCAGGAGGAACACCAAUGGCGAAGGCAGCUCGCUGGGACGGUACUGACGCUAAGGCGCGAAAGCGUGGGGAGCGAACAGG